rnacentral:rRNA from 1 species
CGUAGGGGGCAAGCGUUGUCCGGAUUUAUUGGGCGUAAAGAGCGUGUAGGCGGCCAGGUAGGUCGGUUGUGAAAACUCGAGGCUCAACCUCGAGAUGUCGACCGAAACCAUCUGGCUAGAGUCCGGAAGAGGAGAAUGGAAUUCCCGGUGUAGCGGUGAAAUGCGCAGAUAUCGGGAAGAACACCCGUGGCGAAGGCGGUUCUCUGGGAUGGUACUGACGCUGAGACGCGAAAGCGUGGGGAGCGAACAGGAUUAGAUACCCUGGUAGUCCACGCCGUAAACGAUGGGAACUAGGUGUGGGCGGUGUCGACUCCGUCCGUGCCGAAGCUAACGCAUUAAGUUCCCCGCCUGGGGAGUACGGCCGCAAGGCUA